rnacentral:siRNA from 1 species
UGACAGAAUGGUCUGGGCUGCUUC